AUGGUGGUGCAUGGCCGUUCUUAGUUGGUGGAGUGAUUUGUCUGCUUAAUUGCGAUAACGAACGAGACCUCGGCCCUUAAAUAGCCCGGUCCGCAUUUGCGGGCCGCUGGCUUCUUAGGGGGACUAUCGGCUCAAGCCGAUGGAAGUACGUGGCAAUAACAGGUCUGUGAUGCCCU
rnacentral:ncRNA from 1 species